GCUGCAAUCCGCUCUGUCGCGUUCCGGAAUCUUCCGGGAUGAGGAAAGUCCGGGCAACACAGGGUACCCUGCUUCCUAACGGGAAGGAGGUUUGCGGGUAAUCGCAGGCCGACAGCUAGUGCCACAGAAAAAAUACCGCCCUGCGCUUGUCAAAGGGUAAGGGUGAAAACGCGGGGUAAGAGCCCACGACCUGUUUGGCAACAACCAGGAUGGUAAACCUCAGGGGUUGAAAAACCAAAUAGGCAGCGGAAUGGCGACCCGUCAGGAUCUUCGCGAUCCCCGCUGCGGGUAGGUUGCUUGAGCCGCACGGUGACGUUCGGCCUAGAUAAAUGGCAGAGAGGUGCUUCGGCACCUACAGAACCCGGCUUACAGGAUUGUAAAAUGC
rnacentral:RNase_P_RNA from 1 species